UGAGCCACAACCCCAGCCAGCCUCAUUAGUGUUUGUAGCAUGAGUGGAGGCUAGGGUAGGCUAGCCCAGUGGCAGAGAACAUGCUUAGCUUAUGGGGAGCUAGAUUCAAUCCUCAACAAUGAAAAAACAAAACAAAAGUAUUAGCUAUGAAGAAAAUAAAAUAAAGUGUCACUUUUGGGGUACAGGUUUUUUUUGGUACUGGAGAUCAAAUCCAGGGGUGCUCCAUCUCUGAGCUACAUUCCAAACCCUUUCUAUUUUAUCUUGAGGCAGGGUCUCACUAAAUUGCCCAAGCUAGCCUUGAACUUGUGACGCACCUGCCUCAGUCUCUAGAGUCACUGGGAUUACAGGUGUGCACCAUCAUGCCUAGCCACAGGUGAUAUUUUAGAUGGCAAACCCAGAGUCAUACCCCACAUUGGUUGGAUAGCCCUUUGGAGAUAAGGCUAAUCAUAAUAGGAAAAUCGUCAGUGCUAGGAGGUGAUGGGAGUACUUGACAUCUGCAAACUCAUGAAAUCCUCAAAAUAGCCCUUUAGAGUAGUAUUAAUGCCUGCUCUUGGACAGGUAAAGAAACUGAGGCACAGAGAGGUCAAAGUGAGGAGUGAAGUGAGACCCCUCCACUGGGAUCACAUCUGGUCCUUCUCAAUAUUUUGGUCUCAAGAUCUGAUUUACUGAUAGCUCCCUAAGUUUGGAGCCUAGAAUGAAACGGACCAAGUUGCAGGAAAUGCAAGAUGAUUUCCAUUUUCUUUUUUGCUAGGGAGGCUAGUAGCUAUCAGGGAACAUUAGAAUCUCCUGAAAGAACUUGUUAAAAUGCAGAUCCUCAGGCUCCACAGGCAGAAAUUUAGAUCUAAUAGGUCUUACCUGAUGCCAGGAAUGUGCAUUUUUCACUAAGCAACCCUGAUAAUUGAAAAAUGUCUGGUCAGGAAAAAAAAAGUUUUGAUUAUUAUUGUCAUUAUUGCAACUCAUCUUAGACUGGGGCUUGUAGCUCUGUGGUAGAGCACUUGUCUAGCAUGCAUAAGGCCCUGAGUUCCAACCACAGCACUAUGAGGGGAACAAAAGUGAUUCUUAGGGCUGGGGAUGUGGCUCAAGCGGUAGCGCGCUCGUCUGGCAUGCAUGUGGCCUGGGUUUGAUCCUCAGCACCACGUACAAACAAAGAUGUUGUGUCCGCCGGAAAAACUAAAAAUAAAUAAAUAAAUUUUCUCUCUCUCUC
rnacentral:lncRNA from 1 species